rnacentral:misc_RNA from 1 species
UCUCCGUAGGUGAACCUGCGGAGGGAUCAUUACAGAGUUCAUGCCCUACCGGGUCGAUCUCCCACCCUAUGUUAUUAUUACUUUGUUGCUUUGGCGGGCCGUUAGGCUCCGGCCCGACUACCGGCCCCGGCUGGUAAGCGCCCGCCAGAGGACCCAAAACCCUGAAUAUUAGUGUCGUCUGAGUACUAUAUAAUAGUUAAAACUUUCAACAACGGAUCUCUUGGUUCUG